AAGGAUAGUGAAUUGUGCUAGUAUAGCAGCCCAAUAGAAGUGAUUCCGAGGUCGCAAGGAUUACAAGUCAAAUGUCCCGAUUUCAGUUUUUGGUGGAGCUACAGGUGGCUAAACAAGGGAGGCUAUGGUACUAAAAAUCAAGUGGUUUGAUGUGCUCAAAAGAUAUAAUAUUGCUGGUACAUAGAUCUCCAAGAAUCUGAAUCUGUAAACUAUAUUUUUUAGUAAGCAAACCGCAAUACAACCCCU
rnacentral:lncRNA from 1 species